rnacentral:rRNA from 1 species
UACGAAGGGGGCUAGCGUUGCUCGGAAUCACUGGGCUUAAAGGGCGCGUAGGCGGGUGCUCAAGUCCGGGGUGAAAUCCUCCAGCUCAACUGGAGAACUGCCUCGGAUACUGGGUGCCUCGAGUGUGGUAGGGGUGUGCGGAACUAUCGGUGGAGCGGUGAAAUGCGUUGAUAUCGAUAGGAACUCCGGUGGCGAAGGCGGCACACUGGACCACAACUGACGCUGAGGCGCGAAAGCCAGGGGAGCAAACGGG